GACGAACGCUGGCGGCGUGCUUAACACAUGCAAGUCGAACGGAAAGGCCCUGCUUUUGUGGGGUGCUCGAGUGGCGAACGGGUGAGUAACACGUGAGUAACCUGCCCUUGACUUUGGGAUGACUUCAGGAAACUGGGGCUAAUACCGGAUAGGAGCUCCUGCUGCAUGGUGGGGGUUGGAAAGUUUCGGCGGUUGGGGAUGGACUCGCGGCUUAUCAGCUUGUUGGUGGGGUAGUGGCUUACCAAGGCUUUGACGGGUAGCCGGCCUGAGAGGGUGACCGGCCACAUUGGGACUGAGAUACGGCCCAGACUCCUACGGGAGGCAGCAGUGGGGAAUAUUGCACAAUGGGCGGAAGCCUGAUGCAGCAACGCCGCGUGCGGGAUGACGGCCUUCGGGUUGUAAACCGCUUUCGCCUGUGACGAAGCGUGAGUGACGGUAAUGGGUAAAGAAGCCCCGGCUAACUACGUG
rnacentral:rRNA from 1 species